UACAUGGGGUGCAAACGUUGCUCGGAAUCAUUGGGCGUAAAGAGCGUGUAGGCGGUCCGGUAAGUCCGCUGUGAAAUCCUGGAGCUCAACUCCAGAACUGCCUUUGAUACUGGCGAUCUCGAGUCCGGGAGAGGUGAGUGGAACUGCGAGUGUAGAGGUGAAAUUCGUAGAUAUUCGCAAGAACACCAGUGGCGAAGGCGGCUCACUGGCCCGGUACUGACGCUGAGACGCGAAAGCGUGGGGAGCGAACAGG
rnacentral:rRNA from 1 species